AGUUAUUCUAGCCGUUAGUGGAAGUACAUGUCACUAAUUUGUAGGAGUUUGGAGUUUGUUAAUUUCAUUUCCCAAUUAAAGCCUUGUAUCUUGCUUUUUGAGAUAUAUGAACAAUCAGCUUUCUUUGGUUCUCUCUUUAAUAAUUUUGCUUUGUUAAACAUAUUUCUUUGAUUUGUGUUUUCAUCGUAUCAGAGCAACCAAGUCAAAACUUAAAAAGUCAAAGGUACUACCAACUACACGAGUGAAACUUAAAAAGAAAUAAAAAAUAGAAACCAGGUUCGAUCCACCUUUCAUCCAUCAGCAAGGAGCUGAGAAAGGGAAAGUAAGAGAGAGAAAAAAAACCAAAAGAAAAACCCCAAAUUGAGAGUUACGAGUGAAACACAAAACCCACAAAAUUGAGUGAACAAAAUGGCUGAAAAUGGCACAAAUUCAUCCUCUCAGCCUUUAAUUCCCACAGUCAAAGGGGAAAAUAUCAUUUAUGGAGUCUUAAAAUGAAGACCAUGUUUAAAUCCCAAGAGCUAUGGGAUUUAGUGGAGAAUGGGUAUAAUGAACCAAACCCGGCACCGGUCGUUCCUAAUGCACGGAGAACCCGCAAUUAAGAAAGAUGUUAAGGCAUUGUUUUUUAUUCAACUGGCGUUGGAUGAUAGCAUCUUUCCCCGAAUUGCAGCAGCCACUAGUGCACAUGAAGCAUGGGAGACACUCAAGCAAGAGUACUUGGGUGAUCAGAGAGAAAUUAAGGUACGAUUGCAAACUCUACGUGGUGAUUCUUCAGAUUUAUCCAUGGGAGACAAGGAGUCUGUUCAAAACUACUUAUCUAGAGUAACUGAAAUUGUAAGUCAGAUGAGAUCAUAUACAUAUGGUAAAAAAUUAGCAAUGAAACUAUUGUGAGAGUAAGGUGUUGAGGAGUUUGAAUGAUGAAUGGAAUAAUAUUGUUCCUGCAAUUGAAGAAUCAAAGGAUCUAUCUAAUUUUACCUUUGAUGAAUAAAUGGGCUCUCUUUUAGCACAUGAAAGUAGGAUGAAAAAGGGCAAUGUUAAGACUGAAGAGAAAGCAUUUCAGGUUAGGGGUGAGUCUUCCUUUAAGGGGAAGAUGGAAAAUACUGGAAACCUUGGAAGAGGCAGAGGUGGUUUCCAAGGCCGACGUAGAGGUCGUGAUAAUGGUAGAUGAUGGACGGUCGUGAUAAUGGUCGUGAUAAUGUUGGUCAAAGCAAAAAGCUGAAUAGAGGCAAGCAAACUUCACUGAAAAGGUAGAUGAUGAUAGUAACGAGAGCAAGCUAUCCGUGGCUCACUCACCUUCUCCGCUCUCAAAAAUGCAACGAUGUAUGGUUCCUUGGCAGUGGCUACUCUAAUCAUAUUUCCAGGGCAAAGGAAUUAUUCAAAGAUCUUGAUGGGUAAAAAAAAGGCGUGGUGAGACUUGGAGAUGAUAAACAGAUGCAAUUUGAUGGCAAAGGCACAAUUUUGCAACUGAUUUUGCGGUAGUUGCUGUGCGGUCGCUAAUUACAACUACCAUAAUAUUUAGUCGCAAAAAAUGUUUUUGCGACUGAAAGACACGGGUAGUUGUUAAUUUUACGACUCAUGUUAUAGUGAUUGUAAUGCGGUAGCUAAAUUGCGACGCUCUUAUAAUUUUUGCGACUAAUUUGUAGUUGCUACUUGCUAGGGUUAUUUAUUUUGAAAAACUUUUUAAUUUAAAAUUUGUGACUAAUAUUCCAACUAAGUCGGUAGUCCCAUUGUUUUUAAUAUUUAUUAAAAAAAAAAAAAAAAACCCUUAGUAUAAUGAAGAGUUGCAAUCACUCUUAAAGAUACAGUACAGAGACUCUUCUUCCUAAAAAACACACGCAGAAGGCUUAAUUUCAGAGAAUCAACCCUCGCCGUCGCUCUUCAUCUUCCUCCGCUGCGCCACCACGUCUCCUCCCAGUGUGAGUGUGUGUACUUGAAUGUUUGAGCCUAGGUUAUGUUUGCUGCAAUGUUAUAUUGAGCAAUGGAAUAUUGGGUGUUUGUUACAAGUGGGUAAAGGUUUGUCUUAGGACUCUAAAUUGCUGAAGUUAGCUUUUCAGCCUUGUAUUAAAGUUGUAAUGUUCAGAAGAGAAUACUACGCUAUGUAGCUGGAACAUUCAGAUUUGGUCCUUGGUAUUCAAAGGUGUCAAGUUGCAAGCUGAUCAGGUUCACACACAGCGAUUGGGCAAGAAGUUUGGAUGAUCGAAAAAGCACUUAUAGCAACUGUUUUAGUUUUGGUUCAGCAAUGGUGACAUUGAGUUCUAAGAAGCAGAAGACUGUACUGUAGCUCUCUUGACUUGUGAAGCAGAGUAUACAUCAGCAUCUGUAGCAGCAAGCCAAGCUAUUUAGCUUAGAAAAGUUCCUGCAGAUUUCAAUUUUGAGCAAAAUGAAGCAACAGAGGUGUUCUGUGACAACAAGUCAGCAAUAGCAAUGACUAAAAAUCCUUGCUUUCAUGGUAGAACCAAGCACAUGGAUACCCAUCACCACUUCAUUCGGCAGCUAGUAAAUGUUUGAAAGAUCAAGUUGACUUUUUGUGGCACAAAUGAGCAAGUUGCAGAUAUAUUUACAAAAUCGCUUUCCCCUGCUAAGCAUCUUUUUUUCAGAUCAUUGUUGGGUGUAUGUGAUUUUGACUCAAGGGGGAGUGUUGAGUAACAUGGUCAUAAUCUGCUCCUAUUAUUUAGGAAUGUUGGUAGCCUAGGAUUCUUAAGUAGUUGUUAGCUUGUUGUUAUAUUAGUGACUUGGUGGUAAGUUAUUCUAGCCGUUAGUGGAAGUACAUGUCACUAAUUUUUAGCAGUUCAGUUUGGAGUUUGUUAAUUCAUUUCCUAUUUAAAGUCUUGUAUCUUGCUUUUUGAGAUAUAUGAACAAUCAGCUUUCUUUGGUUUUCUCUCUAUAAUAAUUUUGCUUUUUAAACA